GAUGAAGAACGCAGCGAAAUGCGAUAAGUAGUGUGAAUUGCAGAAUUCAGUGAAUCAUCGAAUCUUUGAACGCACAUUGUGCCCCUUGGUAUCCCGAGGGGCAUGCCUGUUCGAGCGUCAUUUCACCACUCAAGCCUGGCUUGGUGUUGGGCGACGUCCCCUUUGGGGACGCGCCUCGAAACGCUCGGCGGCGUGGCACCGGCUUUAAGCGUAGCAGAAUCUUUCGCUUUGGAAGUCGGGGCCCCGUCUGCCGGAAGACCUACUCGCAAGGUUGACCUCGGAUCAGGCAGGGAUACCCGCUGAACUUAAGCAUAUCAAUAAGCGGAGGA
rnacentral:misc_RNA from 1 species